rnacentral:rRNA from 1 species
UAGCCUACGGGAGGCAGCAGUGGGGAAUAUUGCACAAUGGGGGAAACCCUGAUGCAGCGACGCCGCGUGAGUGAAGAAGGAUUUCGGUAUGUAAAGCUCUAUCAGCAGGGAAGAAAACGACGGUACCUGACUAAGAAGCCCCGGCUAACUACGUGCCAGCAGCCGCGGGAAUACGUAGGGGGCAAGCGUUAUCCGGAUUUACUGGGUGUAAAGGAAGCGUAGACGGUGGAGCAAGUCUGAAGUGAAAGCCCGCGGCUCAACU